GAUUUAGAAGACUAUGCUAUGGAACAAGACAUAGACGGCGUUCGAGCAGCUAGUUUGCCGGAUGAAAGAUUUAUUGACCCGAGUGAGUAG